rnacentral:lncRNA from 1 species
UUGUCCACCGAAUGAAGAGGAUUUGGGUGAUCAGCCGAGAGAAAGUGAGGAAGGCUUCAUUCUCUUGCUCCACUUCAGACCAACCGAGAGAGUAGAGAGAGAGCUCUGCAUUUUCCUAGGCAACUAACUGCUAAAUUCCAAGUGGUGGCUGAAGAAUCAAAUAGAAGGUUGCUUGCAAAGUCCAAGCAGUGACCGACCGAAAACAAGGAGAAGUUAUCUGUCAAUAUCUUUGGGUGGUGGCCGAGAGGAAAACAAAAACUUCAAUUCCUUUCCUUUUCAACCCAACACCGAGAGUAAAACUAAGAGAGUGGGAGAGAAAGGUUAGCUAGCUUCAUCACCAACUAACCAAAAACAAGAAGGAGUAUAGCGAGGAAAGCAGGAGAAGCUCGAGCUAGGACCUUGAGGAACUGAAUCAGGGAGAGCUAGAGCAGUCGGCAAUUUCAGAUUCUAAGGAAAGAAAAAAAAAGGUAAAAUUUUAUAAACCUCCUGCUUAUUUAGUGUAAUUGAAUGUUUAAGCUGUGUAUAAACUUUAGCUAGGAAAAAAUGAGUUCUUGGUUGGAAAAAGAAACUUUGUGCAGAACCGAAUGGCA